UAAUUAGCAUAUUUGGUCAACGUAACGAUGAGUUGCCAUCAACAACCUAGCCAACGACAAUUUGUUUCAAUUGCGGAUUACGGUAUCAGGAAGGAACGAAUUCGCGGAUACGAAGAACGGGACGAGCGGUUUAUUCAUUCGUCUGUGGCCGGGUUCGUACGCCAUUGGUGCAUAUUUCGCACGUGUGACAUCAUUCGCGUGAUGUAAUCGCACGGCGAGCGACUCCCACACGAUCUCAGGACGUAAAGCAACGAGUUGUUCACGGUACACGUCUGGAAAUAAGCGGAAGAUGUUAAGAAAAGAAGGCUAAGACUAAGAGCAAAUAAGCGGUAUGUUGACAUAAAUAUUAUUAGUUGAAACAAAGAUCUUUCGGACGAAGAGAAACACAGGAUGAGACGUAGAGAAAUCUCAUUCAUAACGAAACACGUUUCAAAAGUUCUCAGUAAUGUCAGAAAUAUUAUACGUAAUAACUCAGCGGUAUUUCUAGAAGUUACCUUGGAACGUAAUUGUCUCGUUAGUCACGAAAGGAUUAAAGAAAAUAUAUAUUCCCGUUUCGUACUACAUCAGAUCGAGUAAUUAGAUGGAAGAAAAAGGUCGAUUCGUUUUGAACCUCGUAAACGUAUCCCACUUAACAGCGUAUUAUUCGUUUCGUAAUAUUUGCCGAGUUUAUAAUCGGUUCUCUGUCCGUAAUAAUAAAUACACACUCGAGGCACAUCCACCAGGUGCGUACCUGCCUGGGUACACCAUUCGAUAUCGUGCACAAAAGAGCACGAUAUAGACCGAAACGCCGCAACGCUGAAGGUAAGAUGAACUUACCACUCGCCACGAACACAGCCAGGCUAUUGAUUUUCCAGCGGAGUCACCGUGGCGCCAAUGUUUACGAUAUAUAUUAUAUACCGGGUGUUUCAUCGUGAAUAACCGUUUGUAACAUUCUCAAGCCUAUCGCGAAAUUUGAUUACUCAAUUUCUAUAUUUUCACAUUAAGAAGAAUUCGUGCUGAGUGCUAAGACGUUUCACGUGAAACCAAAACGAGACAUCAUGAGUACGAAUAAGAUCUUUUUCGUAUUUUCACGUCUACGCUACAGAUAUUUUUCAACGUUAGAAAAAUAUAAUUGGGCGGAAGAAUACCGAAAGACUGCGGUUGUAGAGUUACACGCUGGAACCACUGUAGCGUGUGUGACUGUAUAAAAUCAUCGUAUUUGCUAUGGCUUUCACGUAUUAAUUAACCAAAUGCAAGUAUUCUCUUAUCUUUUAUUUUAAUAACGCUCUCGUAUAACUACGAAUUAGUAGCGUCACGAGAAUGAGAAAUGGAAUGAAGUUUUAAUUAAUUCUUCCUCUUUAGUCUCUUUAACUGCGACGCAAGCGAAUACGGUGCAUUGUUACCGACACAAAAAUCUCCUUUAACGAGUCCCACCUCGAGCAGACCAGAAUAGAAUAACAAAAAUUACCAGCGCAAGUAUCUUUCAAAAUCAUAGAAUGCGACAAGGAUCAUCCAAAAUUGCAACGAAGAGCAACCCGCUCUGAUAUAUUCAAGAAUUAAUUACAAUUUGACACUUUCCCGCAAGUUUAUCGAUGACGGUAAUGUUUCUGAUCUUCCUAAGUAGAAAAAAGAAAGCUCGAUUACAAAGACCGUAUAGACAUUGACAGAGGCACUAGCUUCUAAGUCGUAUUUGCAACACAUCUACGAUUCUAAUCGAUUCAAAUCGAUCAGUUGAUUAGCUCAAGAGUGUGAUUGAUGGUCACUCUGUAGAUGAAAGUUCGGCAAUACUUAAAUGUCAAACGAGAAUAGCUGUAACAUAAUUGGAAAGUACGAGAUGAAAUGAGAAAUAGUAAGAGACUUUGAUCGACCAUUUUUUACAUAACCACGCGGUACAUUUAGUACGUAUAUCCUGCUUGUACCUGCGUACAACUAUCCCAGAGAGGUACUACCCGGCAUAUACUACUACGGUACGUAAAGGACUUCGUUAUUAUUUUGAACCGCGUCAACUAAGCUCGAAAUAAUACCACUUCCUUUAGCCGGUUCAAAGGCAAUAACAAGAUAUCUCGGCGACUUUCAACCUUUCCCAUUUCAUGACGCGUACGAACUAAUUACAUACAUAAAAUUCUGCGGUACAUCAAAAAGUAUAUAAUAUUUGGUUGAAGACGAAGCGUUCACACCGGGCAGCUACAGUUGCUUUUAUUCUAGCCGUUUACUUGCCAAAUUGGUAAACUCCAGAAAACGAAAAGUAGAGAAAAUCGACGACGGUACGGCUAAUUAUCGGUAUCUUGCGCAUCCCACCGAUUUCGAUGAUUUUUUAACACCCUGUAGAAAUCGAUAUUUCGAACAACUCUUUCCCAUACGUAGAACCGCCGCUCGGCCAUAGUUUCCCAGAUAUAGACAAAACUGCCGAUACCACUACAGUGAACUCUGCCUGUAUAAUUACGUGUUCGUGACAGCGUUUGCCCUCGUAUUAGUUGGCCGCCGUCUGGUAAAACGACAUUUAACCCAAACCUACAUAAACUACAAACAAAAGAUAAAGAUUAGGUACGGGUUAGAUAUUAUUGUAUCCGGCCGCUAAUAUUAGCGCACACGCUGUCACGGCCGUACGUAUAAUUAUAUACGCAAUUCUAUAUUUUAUAUUACGCAUAGAACUCACUGUGGCGGUAGCGAUGGUUUAUCGCGAAUAUCUCGGGAACUAAAGUAGAGUGACGGUCAUAUGUAUAUAAACAAGUUGUUCAGAAUCGCAUCGCCGACAACAUGUAUAAUAAUAAUCGAAACCGGUAAAGUGAAUGAAACAUUGAUAAUUAUCAAAGUAUGUAAGACAGACGUUAAUCAAGCGCUUUGGCAUUAAAGUUUUUCGAGCAACGACCUCCGUGAAAUUAAUCUCUGUGCUUCUGGAUUAUUUGCCACGCGAUUACUCAGUAAGUGGGAUAACUGAGGUAUAACGAAUACAGAGGGACAAUGAACGAUGAAAAUCGAGGUGGCUGGGGGGCGACCUGAUUUCCACUGUCCCCGGCUGCAGCGGAGGCCGUCAACAAUGCGACUUUAUUCGACUCGGAAGAGGGGUCCAUUGGUUAAUGAGGUUAAGAGCGAGACUAGACGAUGCGAUGAGUCGAAUACAGAGUAGACCAAGUAUAGUAGCCUCCGUAAUAUAGUAAGGUUGUAAAAUCGAUACCCAGUGUUUGAGCAAAAAAAGAUUAGCUUCGCUAUGUUGUUCGAAUUAUCUUUGAUCAAAUCGUAUUUUCCUAUCGUCGAAUAAUUUCUUAAAUUCAAGGGAAAUGUCGAGGCAAUUUCCUAAAUUUCAGGAUUAAUCGCAGUGGUAACGAUUUCGUUUUCGCUCUGAUUUUCUCAAAAUAUUAAAACUACUCUUCGCUCGGUUGAGAUUAAAGUAAGAGUGAAAUACAUUGAUAUUCGAGGGCCCUGAGAAAAGACGGACCGCAACUUUUGUCAUGUUCGACUCGUUUCGAAAAGAAUAGAGCGCUAUAAUAGCCCUGGGUAUGACAGCAUCGCUUAACACUGCAAUUCGCAACUUCAUUAUAUCGUAGUAACUGUCCUUACUCGACCACGAGAUAUUUCAACGUGUAGAGUUAAUAUUCGUAAAAAUUGGAGGUCUCUGGUUUGCGUAUAUUUAAAUGUACGAGCAUACGUGUAUUAAACGCAUCUAUGCUUCGAUUUAUCCAAUCUUUAAGCUUGAAAGUUCGAUAUGGUGAAAAUGGGAAAAUGGUGGAAAUAUUCACAGCCGUGGUCUGUUUUCGUUCCUUUUUUGGCUACCGAAUUGCGUGCCACAGAAUCCAAUAUUGGAUCAGUGAAACUAUUUUCAGCGAUGCGGAACUCCGAUACCUAAACUGGGUGAAUCGAAUACCGAGAAAGGUCGUGUUAAUUAAUUCGUCCUAGAUUCUAUCAAAUCAUUAAUGCAAGUAAAUAUUCAAAGAUAUUUCUUCUCUGGAAAUGAAUUAAUAAGUAAAAACUGUUGCCUUGUACAUUGUCGUGACUGUACAGAAUAAAAAUUACUUCAAUAAACAUUAUUCGGUACGAGGAUCAAAUAACUUUCGUGUACGGAUGUUUCUUCAACUCCCAUGCUUGCAAAAUUAUUAGACAAGAGUCUUUGUUGCCUCCCAUAUAACUCAAAGUGUUCGAAUACUCGUGCCAGCAUCUAUUUAUUUCAACUCGUGUAUCAAACAUUUUACCUUGUCCCUAACAAUUUCACCCCAGCAAUUUCACAUCGGAUCUUCGAGUUGCGUUUAACGAUUCGAGUGCAUCAGACGACGAGCCUGAUACAAAGUGUCCAUGCGCAUGGUAUCUUCCGGUGGGCCCGAUUAUCGUCGCGCUCGGAUCUGAAAUUCCUUGGCAGCUGGCGUGCUUUCCUAUUUAUCGAGGAUGACUCGGCGUGCAGCAUCGAAAGGUCAAAAACCUGCAACUUGUAGGGAUUCAGAAAAGCAGAUUCGAUCCUCGCGGCCGUCUGCGUACAAGCAAGCUCGAGAGAUCAAUAAAUACAGUUAUACCGACUGUUCCGUGCAAACGAUCUCAUAGUAAAAAUAAACAUCUUCGCUCUAUAAUGCGCUAUUUACAAAAACGCUUCAGCUAGUCGGUACCCUUAACUACCACUAUUAUAUUCUUAGACGUGCUGAAAUUUUCGAGUUGUUCUUGUCAAAAAUUAUUUAUUCUAAAAUUAAUUUAACAGCUCGUCGUUCCCUUACUCGUGGCCGACCACGUAUUUUCGGCGGAUGAGAAAAUAAAUCGAACGGUGCACGAAGGCCGAAAAAAUGCCUCGAUUAAGGCUAUGGAAGCUGGUGCAUAGAGCAUGACUAGUAGUCCACCGCUGUGGACGAAACUACGUCACGUCCGCAUUUAAGUUAAUCCGCUGUCGGCCGACUUGGUUACCUCCGUCAUUUACUUGAACGCCGUGCUACAACGCAUCGUUUACCACUUAAAGCUGCGGCCGAAAAUUUACACGUCGGACUCAAGGUGAUCGCUUUCGGCUAGCAAACGCUAGAAAGCGAAAUUCAUCGAGCUCGAGAAACUUGAGAAACUAGAGAGAACGUCGAAUGCGUUUAUAUCGGAUAGCUUAGAAAUAACUUUUUAAUUAGGAUCAUACGUGCAAUAGAUUAGAGAAGUUUCGUUGAGUAGGAAAUAUUUAAAUAAUAUUGUCGUUAGAUCGAUGAUCGGUUGACGUAUAACUUGGAAAUAUUUUAAUUUAAGAAAUAAAACAGCGAGGAUGGAUUGCGAGAGAAGAUUCUUUCGAAUUGUAAAUGAUUUAGACGAAUAAUAUGAAAGUGCGUCUGUCUGAUGCUCAUUUCCUAACUUUGUUUUCUCUCGUGUCAAGACGCUAGAUCCGUUCAAACGAGACUAUAAAUAGUUUAGCGGCGAAAUUGGUCGAUAAAAGAGUAGCUAAUCAAACGAAGAACAACUUUCGAAAUAGAUCGACGUCUUCGUUUAAUUCUGUCCCUGCAAAAUGAAAAAUCCUCCCGCUUAUAAAUACACUGGCCGUGAUUCAUCGCUAGAACGAUGCGACGAAUCGAGAGGACAACGAAAUAGAGAAAAUAUCGUAGGUUCGAUGAUAUGUAGCUAUUGUUGAUAACGGCGCGCAAUUCGGGAGGAAAAAAUAGAAAUAUCUUUUGCCAAUCGUCGUGCCAGAAAACAAUGUUUCCAGUUACAAGAACUUUCCCGUCGUUUUACACCCGUUUCAAUUAAGAAAUUGAACAUUGGUUAAUUAGCGAUAAAAACUUCAAAUUAGCUGGAUCGGCCACACAUCUCGAGAACUAGUUUCUUUAGAUAAAGAAAAACAAGAACAAUAAGAGAGUGGGCACGUUAUCGAGCACACAAUUGCGUUAAAGAUCCAGUUAAUAUUUGUCUAUAAUAUUACAUAAUUUACGAUCUAUGUUAUACAAUUAUUUUUGCCAAGAUAUUACAAUAAUGUUUAUCAUAAGCUCCAUACAAAGAUAUUAUAGAAAGAUAAAUGAACAUACGUUAAAUAAUAAAAAUAGCAAUUUAGGAAAUAGUGAAAAAAUAAAUAAAGAGAUAAAAGUAAAAGAUAAGAAGAUUAAUUCAAGAUACAACGAAAAAAACUACGAAUAUGUAACUACGUAAAUGGAGAAGAAAAAGUCAAGAAAAUUUCAACAUUCUAUUACAAUACACAAUGAAAAUGUAAAUCAACUGAAUACGCUAAGCAUAAAAAGAGUGAAUUUACGGCAUUUUAAAAAGGGAAGAAGAAAAAAUCAACGAUGCAAUCCUGUUGCUCGGAUAUUACAGAUGUUAUCGAAUUUAAAUAAAUUUCGUGCCCAUUGCUGUUUUACGAGCUUUCUACGAAACGUAUUCGAAGAAACGAACCGUGUAAUUUAAGAAUCACCUCAAGAUAAUAAGUAUGCUUUAACGUCGAUGAAUAAUACAUGAAACAAAGGAUUACAAAAUAUUUUAUACUUUUUGCGCGCUAUAUGAUUUCCUACUGACCUAUACAUAACAUAAUAUAAUACAUAUAUGUAAUGUAAAUAUCCACUCUGUGCCAGUAAAUGGCACAAGAAACUCGGGAAUUUGGAAUAUUCCAUUCAUGAACUAUCUCCGUCUCCUCGUGUACAGUUAUUUUCCUGCGUGAGAAAAUACGAAUUGCAUAACAGCGAAACGAUCUUAAAAUCUUAACUACAAAUGAAGCUAGAUAAUUAAUCAGAUAAAAGUUAGAGACGAAACACUGGAAACUCCUCGAAACUUAGGAAUUUAUUUUAUUUUAUGUUACUUUUAUUAAUAAUAAUCAAAUGGAGUUCGCGUAUAUAAUUUCGCAAUUUCUAUUGCGAAGCAGUAAAACAUAAAAAUUUAAUUACGUUGCACUUUGCCUUCAAAAACAAUUCGAUUUUCUGACAAAAAUUUCUUAAGAUUUUAGUUCCUGACAAAAUUUCUCCGCGGGAGAAAAAAGAAAAAAAUAAGCAUUCUGAGUUUCCAUUCUGAGUCUCGAUAUCUCAGAAAAUGUGACAGUUUCGCGAAUCUAAAAAUUCAGUUUCGAUUCAUCGUUAAAUAACGAUAUGAUCGUAAUUAUACAAGGAAUUAGGUAAUACGUCUAUAGGAAGGUACACGCUGAAAGGAAGCUGGAAAAUUGAUGAGCGCGGUGCAAUGUCCUUAGUACAUGUAUAUGUAUGUGCUCCCGCACUUAUUAAAUGUUACGCCGCAAUAUCGUUUCCCUAUGGCGCAUGAUAAACGUAUGGAUACGCCAAUCAGGGCAGAAAAGUUGAAAACGUCCCUUGGGUAUUUUUAGAAGGAAGCAAUGUAAUCUGUCCUCCAGGAACACGACAAUGUAACAUGCCUAUAGUAUCUGCAAAUAUGUUUAUCUAAGUAUCUAAAAAUAGUAUUUAUAUUUAAAUUGACGAUAAAAACGAAUUCACACUGUUCGUCUACAGCGAAGCAGUAUAAAUUUGGCCUAACUGAAUUUAACAGAAAUGAAAUUUUCCGAAGAAGUAGCAUUAAAUUUGCAUCGUUUAUUAAUAGAAUUUAUAUUCGACAAUUAACCCGGUGCUUAAACUAGAUCUAUCUAGUCUUAACAAGUAUAUACUUUAUAUUCGGAUAUUAAUGUUGUUAACAUUAGUAAUUUAUAACUUGUAAAAUUUCACUAAUAAUAUCAAUUCAAUUGUGCAAGAGUGUCCUAGUGUUGAUCAUAAAUAACCAUAUUCACAAUUACAUAUAUACUAUAUCGACUGAUGACAUCAUGCAUUAACAUAAUUUACAUACAACUUCUUUGAAAAUGCAUCAAUGUUCGCUUUUGAACCAUCGCAUUUAAGAGACAUCCAUUGAAACUAACGACUAUUUCAUGAGUAAAUACCAAUGAUCACAACGCAGCCUUUACACCCUAGGACCUUUUCCACUUUCCAAAAAGAUUCCCUAAAUUCUAUAGGGCAUUGAAUGAAUGAAAACAUGGCUGAGCUAUUAUCAACGACUACAAUGAUUACCAACGACUUUGUCAAGAGACCACCUUUGAUGCAAGGUAAAAAUUUUCUAAGAACCACCGGCAAAAAAUGUUUACACUGCUUCAAACAAUUACCG